GAUGAACGCUUGCGGCGUGCUUAACACAUGCAAGUCGAACGAUGAAGCCCAGCUUGCUGGGUGGAUUAGUGGCGAACGGGUGAGUAACACGUGAGUAACCUGCCCUUAACUCUGGGAUAAGCCUGGGAAACUGGGUCUAAUACCGGAUAGGAGCGCCUACCGCAUGGUGGGUGUUGGAAAGAUUUAUCGGUUUUGGAUGGACUCGCGGCCUAUCAGCUUGUUGGUGAGGUAAUGGCUCACCAAGGCGACGACGGGUAGCCGGCCUGAGAGGGUGACCGGCCACACUGGGACUGAGACACGGCCCAGACUCCUACGGGAGGCAGCAGUGGGGAAUAUUGCACAAUGGGCGCAAGCCUGAUGCAGCGACGCCGCGUGAGGGAUGACGGCCUUCGGGUUGUAAACCUCUUUCAGUAGGGAAGAAGCGAAAGUGACGGUACCUGCAGAAGAAGCACCGGCUAACUACGUGCCAGCAGCCGCGGUAAUACGUAGGGUGCGAGCGUUAUCCGGAAUUAUUGGGCGUAAAGAGCUCGUAGGCGGUUUGUCGCGUCUGUCGUGAAAGUCCGGGGCUUAACCCCGGAUCUGCGGUGGGUACGGGCAGACUAGAGUGCAGUAGGGGAGACUGGAAUUCCUGGUGUAGCGGUGGAAUGCGCAGAUAUCAGGAGGAACACCGAUGGCGAAGGCAGGUCUCUGGGCUGUAACUGACGCUGAGGAGCGAAAGCAUGGGGAGCGAACAGGAUUAGAUACCCUGGUAGUCCAUGCCGUAAACGUUGGGCACUAGGUGUGGGGACCAUUCCACGGUUUCCGCGCCGCAGCUAACGCAUUAAGUGCCCCGCCUGGGGAGUACGGCCGCAAGGCUAAAACUCAAAGGAAUUGACGGGGGCCCGCACAAGCGGCGGAGCAUGCGGAUUAAUUCGAUGCAACGCGAAGAACCUUACCAAGGCUUGACAUGUUCUCGAUCGCCGUAGAGAUACGGUUUCCCCUUUGGGGCGGGUUCACAGGUGGUGCAUGGUGUCGUCAGCUCGUGUCGUGAGAUGUUGGGUUAAGUCCCGCAACGAGCGCAACCCUCGUUCCAUGUUGCCAGCACGUAAUGGUGGGGACUCAUGGGAGACUGCCGGGGUCAACUCGGAGGAAGGUGAGGACGACGUCAAAUCAUCAUGCCCCUUAUGUCUUGGGCUUCACGCAUGCUACAAUGGCCGGUACAAUGGGUUGCGAUACUGUGAGGUGGAGCUAAUCCCAAAAAGCCGGUCUCAGUUCGGAUUGGGGUCUGCAACUCGACCCCAUGAAGUCGGAGUCGCUAGUAAUCGCAGAUCAGCAACGCUGCGGUGAAUACGUUCCCGGGCCU
rnacentral:rRNA from 1 species